GAGUUUGAUCAUGGCUCAGAUUGAACGCUGGCGGCAGGCUUAACACAUGCAAGUCGAGCGGUAGCACAAGAGAGCUCGCUCUCUGGGUGACUAGCGGCGGACGGGUGAGUAAUGUCUGGGAAACUGCCUGAUGGAGGGGGAUAACUACUGGAAACGGUAGCUAAUACCGCAUAACGUCGCAAGACCAAAGAGGGGGACCUUCGGGCCUCUUGCCAUCAGAUGUGCCCAGAUGGGAUUAGCUAGUAGGUGGGGUAAUGGCUCACCUAGGCGACGAUCCCUAGCUGGUCUGAGAGGAUGACCAGCCACACUGGAACUGAGACACGGUCCAGACUCCUACGGGAGGCAGCAGUGGGGAAUAUUGCACAAUGGGCGCAAGCCUGAUGCACCAUGCCGCGUGUGUGAAGAAGCCUUCGGGUUGUAAAGCACUUUCAGCGAGGAAGAA
rnacentral:rRNA from 1 species